UUUAUGGAGAGUUUGAUCCUGGCUCAGGAUGAACGCUGGCGGCGUGCCUAAUACAUGCAAGUCGAGCGAACGGACGAGAAGCUUGCUUUUCUGAUGUUAGCGGCGGACGGGUGAGUAACACGUGGAUAACCUACCUAUAAGACUGGGAUAACUUCGGGAAACCGGAG
rnacentral:rRNA from 1 species